rnacentral:rRNA from 1 species
AUUGAACGCUGGCGGCAGGCCUAACACAUGCAAGUCGAGCGGAGCGGCGGACGGGUGAGUAAGGCUUAGGAAUCUGCCUGGGAGUGGGGGAUAACGUCCGGUAACGGGCGCUAAUACCGCACACUAUCAGAGUAGCCUAGGUCGGAUUAGCUAGUGGGUGGGGUAAAGGCCUACCAAGGCGACGACCCGUAGCUGGUCUGAGAGGAUGAUCAGCCACACUGGAACUGAGACACGGUCCAGACUCCUACGGGAGGCAGCAGUGGGGAAUAUUGGACAAUGGGCGAAAGCCUGAUGCAGCCAUGCCGCGUGUGUGAAGAAGGUCUUCGGGUUGUAAAGCACUUUAAGUUGGGAGGCGUUACCAGCAGAAUAAGCACCGGCUAACUUCGUGCCAGCAGCCGCGGUAAUAC